GAUGAACGCUGGCGGCGUGCUUAACACAUGCAAGUCGAACGGAAAGGCUCCUGCUUUCAGGGGUACUCGAGUGGCGAACGGGUGAGUAACACGUGGGUGAUCUGCCCUGCACUUCGGGAUAAGCCUGGGAAACUGGGUCUAAUACCGGAUAGGACGAUGGUUUGGAUGCAAUUGUGGAAAGUUUUUCGGUGUGGGGUGAGCUGGCGGCCUAUCAGCUUGUUGGGGGGGUAAUGGCCUACCAAGGCGUCGUCGGGUAGCCGGCAGGGGAGGGUGUACGGCCACAUUGGGCCUGAGAUACGGCCCAGACUCCUACGGGAGGCAGAAGUGGGGAAUAUUGCACAAUGGGCGCAAGCGUGAUGCAGCGACGCCGCGUGGGGGAUGACGGCCUUCGGGUUGUAAACUCCUUUCGCUAGGGACGAAGCGCAAGUGACGGUACCUGGAGAAGAAGCACCGGCUAACUACGUG
rnacentral:rRNA from 1 species